rnacentral:rRNA from 1 species
GAUGAACGCUAGCUACAGGCUUAACACAUGCAAGUCGAGGGGUCUUGAUAGAGCUUGCUCUUGAUAGACGACCGGCGCACGGGUGAGUAACGCGUAUCCAACCUGCCCUUCAUAUUGGGAUAGCCUUCCGAAAGGGAGAUUAAUACCGAAUAACAUGUAAAAGUUGCAUGAUCUUUACAUGAAAGCUCCGGCGAUGAAGGAUGGGGAUGCGUUUCAUUAGGUAGUAGGCGGGGUAACGGCCCACCUAGCCAACGAUGAAUAGGGGUUCUGAGAGGAAGGUCCCCCACACUGGAACUGAGACACGGUCCAG